rnacentral:rRNA from 1 species
UACGUAGGGGGCAAGCGUUGUCCGGAUUCAUUGGGCGUCAAGAGCGUGUAGGCGGCCAGGUAGGUCGGUUGUGAAAACUGGAGGCUCAACCUUCAGAGGUCGACCGAAACCAUCUGGCUAGAGUCCGGGAGAGGAGAGUGGAAUUCCUGGUGUAGCGGUGAAAUGCGCAGAUAUCAGGAAGAACACCCGUGGCGAAAGCGGCUCUCUGGAACGGUACUGACGCUGAGGCGCGAAAGCGUGGGGAGCGAACAGG